AUAUAUAUAUAUAUAUAUAUAUAUAUAUAUAUAUAUAUAUAUUAAGUGCACAAAUUUAAUAACAUUUUGGCUAUUGCAGAUAUAACGUACGGCCAAGUAAAAGCGCAUGUGUUUGUACAGACUGAUAAAUAACAUAGUAAUUUGGAGUAUUUUAAAUACCAAUUAAAAUUGGUAUUUUAGUAAGUUAAUUUUGUAAUUUUUUAUAAAAGUGUAUUUAGUUUUGCCUAUAAAAAUAACUUUAUGACUAACUUCUUAUUAACCGAACGAGAGGUUUGUACAAAGAAAGAUCGGACCGAGGUCUUUUUUGUCUUUUUUGGACUGAGGUCAGAUAUUUCUCUGUACAUACCGAGCAAGCGAGGUUAAUAAAAAGUAUAUUAUAUGCCAUUUAUAGGCAUUUAUACUUGAAACAAACAAGAAAUGCAUUAUUUGAAAUGCAUAUUAGUAGCGUGGAACACAUUUGGUCGAAGAAAACAAAAAAUAGCAAUGUAUUCCUUCUUUUUCACUAAAAACCAUUCGCAGAUAUCUUAUUAAUAACAAAUUAAAUUAAUAUUUUCAAUUAGUUUUACUGUUUUGUUUUAAAAUGCAUGUGUUUGUUUUUCGUAAUGGACCGUCCGUUACAGGAAAAUAAUGACAGCUGAAAGUCCUCGACCAAUCACAGUCCGCCAUUUCACCGGAAGUGAGUCAUGCUUGCUAUAUAAUAAUUCUAUAUAAGGGACGGACCAUUAGAAAAGUGACGGGGGGGGGGGGCAAAACCAAAAAAAAAUUUAUUCCCAAAAAAAAUAGAAAUUAUUCAUUGCUUGGAAGAUAAG
rnacentral:lncRNA from 1 species